rnacentral:rRNA from 1 species
CGCGUAGGCGGACUUUCAAGUCGGAUGUGAAAACUGGUGGCUCAACUGCCAGCCUGCAUUCGAUACUGUUGGUCUUGAGUACGGUAGAGGAAAGCGGAAUUCCAGGUGUAGCGGUGAAAUGCGUAGAUAUCUGGAAGAACACCGGUAGCGAAGGCGGCUUUCUGGGCCGAUACUGACGCUGAAGCGCGAAGGCUUGGGUAGCAAACA